AUGGAUCUGGUUUGCUUAUCGAGUCAGCUAGGAUUGAAGGUUGUAUUAGCUGACUGAUUUGCAUUUUGUUGGUUUUGCACUGGAGUUUACUGUUCUAUUGGGUUUGGGAUAUUCUGUAGUUUCUCCACUGAUUCGGAGUUGUGUUAUGUUUGUUCAACUUCCGCUGAAACUCAACCUCUGAUCUCUCUUUGUUUCCUAUUUCCUUUAAUUUUA
rnacentral:lncRNA from 1 species